rnacentral:rRNA from 1 species
GCCAGACUCCUACGGGAGGCAGCAGUGGGGAAUAUUGCACAAUGGGGGAAACCCUGGUGCAGCAACGCCGCGUGAGUGAGGAAGUAUUUCGGUAUGUAAAGCUCUAUCAGCAGGGAAUAGAAAAGAAGGUACCUGAAAAAGAGGCCCCGGCUAACUACGUGCCAGCAGCCGCGGUAAUACGUAGGGGGCAAGCGUUAUCCGGAUUUACUGGGUGUAAAGGGAGCGUAGGCGGGAUGGCAAGUUGGGUGUUAAAUCUACCGGCUCAACUGGUAGUCGCACUCAAAACUGCUAUUCUUGAGUGAAGUAGAGGCAGGCGGAAUUCCUAGUGUAGCGGUGAAAUGCGUAGAUAUUAGGAGGAACACCAGUGGCGAAGGCGGCCUGCUGGGCUUUUACUGACGCUGAGGCUCGAAAGUGUGGGGAGCAAACAGGAUUAGAUACCCGAGUA